CGUUAUCGGAAUCACUGGGCGUAAAGCGCGCGCAGGCGGCUAUUUAAGUUGGAUGUGAAAGCCUACGGCUCAACCGUAGAACUGCAUCCAAAACUAUUUAGCUAGAGUGUGGGAGAGGAAGAUGGAAUUAGUUGUGUAGGGGUAAAAUCCGUAGAGAUAACUAGGAAUACCAAAAGCGAAGGCAAUCUUCUGGAACACUACUGACGCUGAGGCGCGAAAGCGUGGGGAGCAAACAGGAUUAGAUACCCUGGUAGUCCACGCAGUAAACGAUGAAUGUUAGUCGUCGGGUAGCUAGUCUAUUCGGUGAUGCAGCUAACGCAUUAAACAUUCCGCCUGGGGAGUACGGUCGCAAGAUUAAAACUCAAAGGAAUAGACGGGGACCCGCACAAGUGGUGGAGCAUGUGGUUUAAUUCGAAGAUACGCGAAGAACCUUACCUAGCCUUGACAUAUAUUAGAACUCCGCAGAGACGCAGAGGUGCCUUCGGGAGCUUUUAUACAGGUGCUGCACGGCUGUCGUCAGCUCGUGUCGUGAGAUGUUGGGUUAAGUCCCGCAACGAGCGCAACCCUCGUCACUAGUUACUAACGGUUCGGCCGAGGACUCUAGUGAGACUGCCUUCGUAAG
rnacentral:rRNA from 1 species